rnacentral:rRNA from 1 species
AUACGGAGGAUGCGGGCGUUAUCCGGAUUUAUUGGGUUUAAAGGGAGCGUAGGUGGGGUAUUAAGUCAGCUGUGAAAGUUUGGGGCUCAACCUUAAAAUUGCAGUUGAUACUGGUUUCCUUGAGUACGGUACAGGUGGGCGGAAUUCGUGGUGUAGCGGUGAAAUGCUUAGAUAUCACGAAGAACUCCGAUCGCGAAGGCAGCUCACCGGGCCGGAACUGACACUGAUGCUCGAAAGUGCGGGUAUCAAACAGGAUUAGAUACCCUGGUAGUCCGCACAGUAAACGAUGAAUACUCGCUGUUUGCGAUACACUGUAAGCGGCCAAGCGAAAGCGUUAAGUAUUCCACCUGGGGAGUACGCCGGCAACGGUGAAACUCAAAUGAAUUGACGGGG